rnacentral:lncRNA from 1 species
CUCCUGGCCCAGCAGGGAGGCUGUAAGACACCUCCUGGCUGAGGCAGGGAUGACUUCAGUGGCCUGUCCCUCCGGGGGCUGGUGCUUUGGACCACUGCCUUGACCGUUCCCUUGGUGUGGGGUGUCUGAAUUGUCUUGACAUCAGCACCAGGCAUCUGCGGUUCCUGACCCAACUGAUUCCUUCUCCUAGACGUGGUCUCAGCCCUUCUCUUUUCUGCCUGCCUCGAUCCUGAAUGGCAGCAACUUAGGAUCCAAGGGCCUAAGUACUCCAGCCUUGAAGGAAUCAGAGGAGGCUUAUGGAGCUGUCCCUGGCAACCCCAACGGGACCGCUUUGCAUUCCUGCCAGCUUCUCCUAUAGCGUCGUGACCAAGGGCACAAGGAAGCUCUGGAGCCAGACUGCCUGGGUUCAGGGCCAUGACUAGCCGUGUGACCUUAGGUCCCGGUCGCCAGAGAUGCCCGAUCAUGUGCCAUCCCACAGCCAAGCGCCUGUGUCCAUCUGCUAGGGAGCCCGAGGCGAGAUGAUGGCCUUCUUCUCAAGUUCCACGCAGCCGAGGAGCAGUGCAGGGGGCCUGGUGGGCUCAGCAGCACCCCUGUGGGCGUAAAAAGGCAUUUCGGAUUGCUUAAGGCCACAUUGCUGGGGAGAGGCAUUGCUGAGUUCAGAUCCAGACAGUCAGCCGUGCUCUUGGCCUCCAUGUUGGACUGACAACAACUUGAUGGGUUCCCAGAGAAGAGCUGCUGAGCUCAGAAGCGAGCGCCUGACAAGAGUUGUGCCGCACGCGGCCACACUGAGUUCCAGAGAGGCUGCUCUUGCGUCUCCCACACAGACGGGUCUGCUGCUCUGGACGGACGCCCACCUCCCUACAGCCUUGUUCUCAUGGAAUAUUACCUCUUCCUUUUUCAUCUUUGCCAAGAGCACAUCAUGUGUCUUAUUUUGCAUUUAUUUGGUCUUUACCGAGAUUGAAAAUAUUUUCAAGUGUUUCCUG